CCCCCCCAAACCCUGCCCCCCUUUCGCCGCCCGUCUGUCCCCAUGUGGGUAAUAGGGUUACUUUUUAGGGGGGGGGAGAUGUUGGGGGGUGCCACCCACCCCCCGAUGGGUCCCCAUGUGGGUUAGGGGGGUAUUUUUUGGGGGGGUGUCGCCCAUGAGCUGUGCCCCCCCCCUCAAUAGGUACCCAUGUGGGUUAUGGGGUUAUUUUCUUUCGGGGGGGUGGUGUGUUGGGGGUUGUCACCCACCCAUAAGUCCCUAUGUGGGUCAUUUUUGGGGGGGGGGUGUUGAGGGGUGUCACCCACCAGCUGUGCCCCCCAUCCCAUAGGUCCCCAUGUGGGUUAGGGGGUUAUUUUUUUUGGGGGGGGGGGAUGUUGGGGUGUGUCAUCCACCAACUGCGCUCACCCCCCAGCUCCCCAUGUGGGUUAGGGGGCUAUUUUUGGGGGGAGGGCAUUGGGGGGUGUCACCAGCUGUGCCCCCCUCCCCCACCACGUUCCCCUGGUACCGGGGGGGGGUUAUGGGGCUGUGUGCCCCCCCCGGCCCCCAGUGCCACCCCCGUGUCCCUGUCCCCAGCCGUCCCCCGGCCGCCGCUGUGGGGGCAGAGCCAUGAGCGUGGGCUGAGCCCCCCCCACCCCCCCGGGAGCGGCGCCCGCGCUGAGGCUGCUGCCCGGGAACGCGUGCUCGUGCGAGGCGGAGCCGGGGCUGCCGCUGCCGCUGUUUGGGCAGAGCCACAGCGUGGAUUUCGGCAGCGCCUUCAGCCCCGAGGAGCUGCCCCAUGUGCAGCGGCUGCGGGAGCACGAGUACCGGCGGCACCGCCUGCGGUGAGCGGCCCUGCGGGGAGGGGGGGCCGGGCUUCCCUAUGGGGCUGAAUGGGGGGGACCCUGGGGGCCGUGUGGGGCUGGGUUGGACCCUGGGGGUUCCAUGGGGCUGCGUGGGGAGCAUGGGUUCUAUAUAGGGCAGGGUGGGAGCCUGGGGGUCAGUGUGGCACAGGAUUGGGCCCCAAGGGCCAUAGGGGGAUGAAUGGGACCAUGGGGGCUGUAUAGGGUUGGGUGGGGCACGUGGGGUCCGUAUGGAGCUGAAUGGGACCCUGGGGGCCAUAUGGGGCUGGGUGGGUCACGUGGGUUCUAUAUAGGGCAGGGUAGGACCCUGGGGUCAGUGUGGCACAGGAUUGGGCCCUGGGGGCCGUGUGGGGCUGAGUGGGGCACGUUAUGGUCCAUAUGGGCUGUGCGGGUCCUGGGCUCCAUAUAGGGUAGAAAAGGGCCCUGUGGUCCAUAUAGAGCUGAAUGGGACCCUGGGGGCCAUAUGGGGCUGGGUGGGGAGCAUGGGUUCUGUAUAGGGCAGGGUGGGAGCCUGGGGUCAGUAUGGCACAGGAUUGGGCCCUGGGGGCCACAGGGGGAUGAGUGGGAGCGUGGGGGCCGUAUAGGGUUGGGUGGGGUAUGUGGGGUUCGUAUGGAGCUGAAUGGGACCCUGGGGGCCAUAUGGGGCUGGGGGCUGAGGGACCCUCGAGCCGACCCCCCCCCGCCCCCCCGCAG
rnacentral:lncRNA from 1 species